AACGCACAUUGCGCCCUUUGGCAUUCCGAAGGGCAUGCCCGUUCGAGCGUCAUUACACCAAUCAAGCCUGGCUUGGUAUUGGGCGUCGGGAGACCCCGCGCCCCUAAUUCAUCGGCUGGACGGUUCGAAUCUCAGCGUUGUGGUCAUUCAAUUCGCUGGCGAGGACGACCGGACGCGCCGUUAAACCUUUAUCACAGGUUGACCUCGGAUCGGGUAGGGAUACCCGCUGAACUUAA
rnacentral:misc_RNA from 1 species